CCUACGGGUGGCAGCAGUGGGGAAUAUUGGGCAAGGGGCGCAAGCCUAACCCAGCAACGCCGCGUGAAGGAAGAAGGCUUUCGGGUUGUAAACUUCUUUUCUCAGGGACGAAGAAAGUGACGGUAACUGAGGAAUAAGCCACGGCUAACUACGUGCCAGCAGCAGCGGUAAUACGUAGGUGGCAAGCGUUAUCCGGAUUUAUUGGGUGUAAAGGGCGUGUAGGCGGGAGCGCAAGUCAGAUGGGAAAACUCAGGGCUCAACCCUGAGCCUGCAUUUGAAACUGUGUUUCUUGAGUGCUGGAGCGGCAAUCGGAAUUCCGUGUGUAGCGGUGCAAUGCUUAGCUAUACGGAGGAACACCAGUGGCGAAGGCGGAUUGCUGGACAGUAACUGACGCUGAGGCGCGAAAGCGUGGGUAGCAAACAGGAUUAGAUACACUGGUAGUC
rnacentral:rRNA from 1 species